rnacentral:rRNA from 1 species
GUGCCAGCAGCCGCGGUAAGACGAACCGUGCGAACGUUGUUCGGAUUCACUGGGCUUAAAGGGCGCGUAGGCGGGCCUGCCAGUCAGGGGUGAAAUCCUCCGGCUCAACCGGAGAACAGCCCCUGAUACUGCAGGCCUCGAGGGAGGUAGGGGUCCGCGGAACUUCCGGUGGAGCGGUGAAAUGCGUAGAUAUCGGAAGGAACGCCGGUGGCGAAAGCGGCGGACUGGAUCUCUUCUGACGCUGAGGCGCGAAAGCCAGGGGAGCGAACGGGAUUAGAAACCCCUGUAGUCC